rnacentral:rRNA from 1 species
CCUACGGGAGGCAGCAGUAGGGAAUCUUCCACAAUGGACGAAAGUCUGAUGGAGCAACGCCGCGUGAGCGAUGAAGGCCUUCGGGUCGUAAAGCUCUGUUGUUAGGGAAGAACAAGUACCGGAGUAACUGCCGGUACCUUGACGGUACCUAACCAGAAAGCCACGGCUAACUACGUGCCAGCAGCCGCGGUAAUACGUAGGUGGCAAGCGUUGUCCGGAAUUAUUGGGCGUAAAGCGCGCGCAGGCGGUCCUUUAAGUCUGAUGUGAAAGCCCACGGCUCAACCGUGGAGGGUCAUUGGAAACUGGGGGACUUGAGUGCAGAAGAGGAAAGCGGAAUUCCACGUGUAGCGGUGAAAUGCGUAGAGAUGUGGAGGAACACCUGUGGCGAAGGCGGCUCUCUGGUCUGUAACUGACGCUGAGGCGCGAAAGCGUGGGGAGCGAACGGGAUUAGAUACCCCGGUAGUCCACGCUGUAAACGAUGGAUGCUAGGUGUGGGUGGUAUUGACCCCAUCCGUGCCGUAGCUAACGCGUUAAGCAUCCCGCCUGGGGACUACGGCCGCAAGGUUAAAACUCAAAGGAAUUGACGG